GUUUCUUUGGAGAGAGAAACAGAGUUUUCGUGUCAAGUCUGUACGAUUCUUCUUCAGAGCUGUUUCAUUAUCAUCACCUUCCCGGUGCCCCCCGAUUCCUGUCAGGCUCACUCCAGGUGCCGAGUCUCUCCUCGGGUUGAACUAAACCUGCACCACAUCCAUCCAUCCCUCUUCUCAGAAGCUAUUUUGUGGUUUGUGUGUGGGGAACUCUCGCUCUUAUCUCAUUCUACAUGUAUAUUUCAGGAAUCUGGAUUGAAGUGUUGGUUGUCAUGACAGCAAAACUGUGAUAUCACAAUGAACGAGUAACUUGAAGCUGAAAAACAACUUUGCCACAUAAUGUUUCCACCCGGGAUCUUUCGCGUGUGAAGCCAACGUGAUAACCACUACACUAUGGAAACUCCUGUGACUAAGGCUGUUCUUCUUUCCCUUACCAACAUUGCAGGAGCCCAGCAAUGUAUGCCUUUUGAUUAUAGUUUCUGUGACCUUUAGCAGCAGAACAAGAUCCCAGCUCGCUGGGGCGCAUGCACCCAGGAAUAGAGGAGGGGCAACUGAGAAAAACAGUGAAGGGAUGAAUCUAAACCCCCCCCGUCUCCCAACGAGUGGAAGGGGAGAGGAGAAGAGGGGUAGAGGGGAGACGGAGCUGUGUCCGAUGACUCAGCUGGCUUGCAGACAGGGACUCACUGGGCUGCUCAUGUCUGGAGCACCAGAAGAAGCAUACCCGUUGUCCCCUUUUGCAUCCCUGGGCAAUGCGAGGUGAUGGAGCAGCCCCGAUUAUAGCCAGGGGGAGGCGAAGGAGAGCAAGUUUCCCAAGGCGAAUUUAGACAUUGUCGAUGGAAAAUCUUUGCCCUGCCCAACAUCACAGAGAGGCUGGCACGGUUCGAGGGGCUGAAUGGCCUCAUUCUGCGCUGUAACCCUAUCCUUCUGUAUUUGUCCCUCAAUGCACACAGCUUGCAAAAAACAAGUCAAACUGCUGCAGAUGCUGGAAAGCUGAAAUAAAAAGAGAGAGCGACGUAAAGACUCAGCAGGUCAGACAGCAUCUCGCAGACGGAGAAGCAAGAAAUGACCCUUCGUCAGAAUAAUAGCUAAGACUCUAACUCUUAGUUCUCACCCAGGCUGCCUGCGUUGCUGAGCAUUUCCAGCAUUUUCUGUUUCGUUCCAAGCCUGCCAAAGGGUUUUUCAGUGGUCCCGGGUGGUCCUAUCUGGUUGUGAACCGACUGCCUGUUUCCAACCACCAGCUGCCUGCCCACUGUAAUCCAGACUGGUUGCGGAGUGCCACCAGACAUAAAGGGAGCUCUGCAAUCCACCAUGGCUCAGCUGGUAGUGCACUCCCCUUUCACCUCUGAAUCACCAAGGUGCCUGGGUUCGAGGCCCACUGUGGACCUUGAGCAUAAAAGACAAAGAUGACACUCCAGCGCAGUACCGCAGGAGCACCACCCUGUCGGAAGUGCUGAUUUUCGACUGACGUGCAAACCCAGGAGGAGGAGGGGCCCCCAUCUGCAUCGGUCGGAUGUUAAAGAUCUCGUGGCACUAUUUGGAAGGAAGAAGGGCAAGGGACGCUCCCCAUUCCCCUCCCCCCCAAAAAAUCUUAGAUCAAAGCAAAAUACCGCAGGCGCUGCCUGGAAACCUGAAAC